GACGAACGCUGGCGGCGUGCUUAACACAUGCAAGUCGAACGGUAAGGCUCCAGCUUGCUGGGGUACACGAGUGGCGAACGGGUGAGUAACACGUGGGUGACCUGCCCUGCACUUCGGGAUAAGCCUGGGAAACUGGGUCUAAUACCGGAUAGGACCGCACCGUGAGGGUGUGGUGGAAAGUUUUUUCGGUGUGGGAUGGGCCCGCGGCCUAUCAGCUUGUUGGUGGGGUAAUGGCCUACCAAGGCGGCGACGGGUAGCCGGCCUGAGAGGGUGGACGGCCACAUUGGGACUGAGACACGGCCCAGACUCCUACGGGAGGCAGCAGUGGGGAAUAUUGCACAAUGGGCGGUAGCCUGAUGCAGCGACGCCGCGUGGGGGAUGACGGCCUUCGGGUUGUAAACUCCUUUCACCAUCGACGAAGGGUUUCUGACGGUAGAUGGAGAAGAAGCACCGGCUAACUACGUGCCAGCAGCCGCGGUAAUACGUAGGGUGCGAGCGUUGUCCGGAAUUACUGGGCGUAAAGAGCUCGUAGGUGGUUUGUCGCGUCGUCUGUGAAAUUCCGGGGCUUAACUCCGGGCGUGCAGGCGAUACGGGCAUAACUUGAGUACUGUAGGGGAGACUGGAAUUCCUGGUGUAGCGGUGAAAUGCGCAGAUAUCAGGAGGAACACCGGUGGCGAAGGCGGGUCUCUGGGCAGUAACUGACGCUGAGGAGCGAAAGCAUGGGGAGCGAACAGGAUUAGAUACCCUGGUAGUCCAUGCCGUAAACGGUGGGCGCUAGGUGUGGGUUUCCUUCCACGGGAUCCGUGCCGUAGCUAACGCAUUAAGCGCCCCGCCUGGGGAGUACGGCCGCAAGGCUAAAACUCAAAGGAAUUGACGGGGGCCCGCACAAGCGGCGGAGCAUGUGGAUUAAUUCGAUGCAACGCGAAGAACCUUACCUGGGCUUGACAUAUACAGGAUCGCGCCAGAGAUGGUGUUUCCCUUGUGGCUUGUAUACAGGUGGUGCAUGGUUGUCGUCAGCUCGUGUCGUGAGAUGUUGGGUUAAGUCCCGCAACGAGCGCAACCCUUGUCUUAUGUUGCCAGCACGUUGUGGUGGGGACUCGUAAGAAACUGCCGGGGUUAACUCGGAGGAAGGUGGGGAUGACGUCAAAUCAUCAUGCCCCUUAUGUCCAGGGCUUCACACAUGCUACAAUGGUCGGUACAGUGGGUUGCCAGUCCGUGAGGGCGAGCUAAUCCCGCAAAGCCGGUCUCAGUUCGGAUCGGGGUCUGCAACUCGACCCCGUGAAGUCGGAGUCGCUAGUAAUCGCAGAUCAGCAACGCUGCGGUGAAUACGUUCCCGGGCCU
rnacentral:rRNA from 1 species